rnacentral:rRNA from 1 species
ACGUGGGCAAUCUGCCCGACAGACCGGGAUAACGCUUGGAAACGAGUGCUAAUACCGGAUACGCUCUUGCUUCGCAUGAAGCGAGAGGGAAAGCUGCUUUUGCAGCACUGUCGGAUGAGCCCGCGGCGCAUUAGCUAGUUGGUGAGGUAACGGCUCACCAAGGCGACGAUGCGUAGCCGACCUGAGAGGGUGACCGGCCACACUGGGACUGAGACACGGCCCAGACUCCUACGGGAGGCAGCAGUAGGGAAUCUUCCGCAAUGGGCGCAAGCCUGACGGAGCAACGCCGCGUGAGUGAUGAAGGCCUUCGGGUUGUAAAACUCUGUCUUCUGUGAAGAACAAGCCUAUGAAUGGAAUGCUUAGGCCCUGACGGUAACAGAGGAGGAAGCCCCGGCUAACUACGUGCCAGCAGCCGCGGUAAUACGUAGGGGGCAAGCGUUGUCCGGAAUCACUGGGCGUAAAGCGCGCGCAGGCGGCUGUCUACGUCCGGGGUGAAAGCCCAGAGCUCAACUCUGGGACUGACUUGGAUACGGGAUGGCUUGAGGAUCGGAGAGG